rnacentral:rRNA from 1 species
UACAGAGGUGCCAAGCGUUAGGCGGAAUCACUGGGCUUAAAGCGCGCGUAGGCGGAUGUUUAAGUGUCUUGUGAAAUCCCACGGCUCAACCGUGGAACUGCUGGGCAUACUGGAACAUCGUCGAGGCACUCGAGGGGGCGAGCGGGAAACCAAAUGGUGGAGCGGUGAAAUGACGUAGAUAUCUGGAGGAACACCGGGUGGGCGAAGGCGGCGAUCCUGGGACCAAAUUCCUGGCACGCUAAGGAGCGAAAGCCAAGGGGAAGCAAACGGG